rnacentral:sRNA from 1 species
AUACACAUGCGGUCAUGAUAAUGCAGUUAAGGAUGCAGCAGACUGAUUAAUCCAGACAUCCCGCUACAAGCGUACGCUGGUCAGGCCUGGUCCGGUAAAGGUGCUCUGAAUACCAGAGAUAUUUCUGGCGAAACCCACCUCAAGGUGGGUUUU